AUUGAACGCUGGCGGCAUGCCUUACACAUGCAAGUCGAACGGUAACGGGCCUUCGGGUGCCGACGAGUGGCGAACGGGUGAGUAAUGCAUCGGAACGUACCUUUCAGGGGGGGAUAACGUAGCGAAAGUUACGCUAAUACCGCAUACGAUCUAUGGAUGAAAGCGGGGGAUCGCAAGACCUCGCGCGAUUGGAGCGGCCGAUAUCAGAUUAGGUAGUUGGUGGGGUAAAGGCUCACCAAGCCGACGAUCUGUAGCAGGUCUGAGAGGACGACCAGCCACACGGGGACUGAGACACGGACCAGACUCGUACGGGAGGCAGCAGUGGGGAAUUUUGGCCAAUGGGCGCAAGCCUGGUCCAGCCAUGCCGCGUGGAGGAUGAGGGACUUCGGGUUGUAAACUGCUUUUGUACGGAACGAAAGGGUUGGGCCUAAUACGCUGAACUCAUGACGGUACCGUAAGAAUAAGCACCGGCUAACUACGUGCCAGCCGCCGCGGUAAUAC
rnacentral:rRNA from 1 species